UCGAGAAUCAUUCGCAAUGGGCGAAAGCCUGACGGUGCGACGUCGCGUGGAGGAUGAAGGUCUUCGGAUUGUAAACUCCUGUCAUGUGGGAUAAAUGGCCCGGAGUCGAACAGACUCUGGGAAUGAUAGUACCACAGGAGGAAGGGACGGCUAACUCUGUGCCAGCAGCCGCGGUAAUUCAGAGGUCCCGAGCGUUGUUCGGAUUUACUGGGCGUAAAGGGAGCGUAGGCGGUUUGGUGUGUCGAAUGUGAAAGCCCACAACUCAACUGUGGAAUGGCAUUCGAAACUACCGGGCUGGAGUACUGGAGAGGAGAGCGGAAUUCUUGGUGUAGCGGUGAAAUGCGUAGAUAUCAAGAGGAACACCGGUGGCGAAGGCGGCUCUCUGGACAGAUACUGACGCUGAGGCCCGAAAGUUAGGGGAGCAAACAG
rnacentral:rRNA from 1 species